ensembl:lincRNA linc-95 ncRNA
AGAGAGAGAGAGAGAGAAAGGAUAGAAGGGGGGUCAUAGGGGGGGGGGGGGGGUUGGGAUGGGUGGUAAAUGAUUUUUUUUUCCGGCAAAUCGGCGAAAUGCCGGAAUUGAAAAUUUCCGGAAAACCGGUAAUUUGGCGAAAAUAAAAAUUUCCGGCAAAUCGGCGAAUUGCCGGAAUUCAAAAUUUCCGGCAAAUCGGCAAACCGGCAAUUUGCCGAAAAUAAAAAUUUCCGGCAAAUCGUUAUAAGAAUCAGGGGUGGGUGGCAAACGAUUUUUCCGGCAAACUGGUAAAUUGCCGGAAUUGAAAAUUUCCGGAGAAUCGGCAAAUUGCCAAUUUGGUGGGAAAACGGCAAAUUGUGAUUUUGCGCAUUUUUUUUUGGAAAUUUCAGAAUCAGCAAAAAUUGCCUGAAUCAAAAAUUUCCGGCAAAUCGGCAAACCGGCAAUUUGCCGAAUUUGUCCACAAAAAAAUUUGCAAUUUAUUUGCAAUCCAACGGCAAUUGCCGCCCACCCCUUCUAUAAAAGCAAUAAUUUUUAACCAGAAAAACAAUUACCUACCAUGAUUCAGAAAAAUUAGGAAUAAAACAGGUAGCUUGACGAAAUGACUAAUUUGUAACAUUUUGGCUUGUAAUAUGUGAAACACUGCGCACAAUUGAAAAUAUUGGAACAGCAGGGCAGUGUCAGGAGUGCCCGCAUUGAGUCAUAUUUGUUUGUACAAACACUUACGAGUACCUAACAAAAAGUAAGAUUCCUCAUGUUUUCAAAAAAUCAGGCGACAAUUGACGAGAUUAUCGAAUUUUUGAAAAUUUCAAAAAUCGACAGUUGCCGAAAGUUUUAAAAUUUGUUCUAAAAGUUAAUAAAAAAGUUUU